GUUUGUCGUUUUAAAUUCGACAAUAGCUUUAAUUAUUUUUCCGGAGAAAAGAUAUUUUCCGACUUUCAAUUGUUUUUCUAUUUUUAAUAGCCUUCGUUUCGCCAAAACUUUUACGUCGAACAAAAUUACUGUCUUCAAAUAUAAAUGCUUGCCAAAAGAAAAAAGCUCAAAGAAGAGAGGAUUUGUGAAAUAAAAAAAGAUACAAAUUGCGAAUUCGCCUCAUAUACCUACAGUAGCAUAUUCUUUUAUAUAUCCAUUAGAAUCCGAUCAGAAGAAUUAUGGAAGAAUUGAAUUAGUUUAGGACUACACCUCACCAGAUAAAAUGAUGUCAGAGUGGGGGUCCUGCGACAGGACAAGGACGAUAAGGACUGUAAAUAGCGCGGCAUUCAUGAAAUUUACUACAGGGGUGUUUUCUGUCGCUACAACAACAACACAACAGCUAAUUUUUCGAGUCAUAUCGUCUACAUCAGACAAAAAGACGAGUAAUCUAGGUUAAAUUUGAGCUAUGGCUUCCGAGGAUGGUUAAGUUUCUGUAACCAAACGUUGCGUUGGUACUUACAGUAUGCCAUUUAAAAAUCGCAGCACAGCGAAGGUAAUGAAAUUCGGCGAUAAACUUGAGAGGGCCGUAACAAAAAAGCCCAUGAGUAAUGCCGGUUGCAUUAUCCGCUUGCGACCUGUGGUAUCGGCUAGAAAUCCCCAAAAGUGUGAACUCGUAAUGACACCGGCAAAGGAAACAGCGCCUAUUAUGCCCUGCUCCCGGUGAGAUAGAUUCAGGUCACAUUCUAAGACGGGCAGUGCAAAGCUAACGCCCACCGAUUCGAGAACCACAUUAUUGAGCACGAAGCCGCAAAAUAAAAUUACGAGUAUGUUAAAUUUGCCAUAACCUGUGGGAAGACAAACAUUUUUUUUACAAAUAUUAAAAAAAAAAUAUACAACAUAAAGCUAAUAAAUUUCUCAAAUGUA